GAGCUUGCUCAGAUAUGACGAUGGACAUUGCAAAGAGUGGCGAACGGGUGAGUAACACGUGGGAAACCUACCUCUUAGCAGGGGAUAACAUUUGGAAACAGAUGCUAAUACCGUAUAACAAUAGCAACCGCAUGGUUGCUACUUAAAAGAUGGUUCUGCUAUCACUAAGAGAUGGUCCCGCGGUGCAUUAGUUAGUUGGUGAGGUAAUGGCUCACCAAGACGAUGAUGCAUAGCCAAGUUGAGAGACUGAUCGGCCACAAUGGGACUGAGACACGGCCCAUACUCCUACGGGAGGCAGCAGUAGGGAAUCUUCCACAAUGGGCGAAAGCCUGAUGGAGCAACGCCGCGUGUGUGAUGAAGGGUUUCGGCUCGUAAAACACUGUUGUAAGAGAAGAAUGACAUUGAGAGUAACUGUUCAAUGUGUGACGGUAUCUUACCAGAAAGGAACGGCUAAAUACGUGCCAGCAGCCGCGGUAAUACGUAUGUUCCAAGCGUUAUCCGGAUUUAUUGGGCGUAAAGCGAGCGCAGACGGUUAUUUAAGUCUGAAGUGAAAGCCCUCAGCUCAACUGAGGAAUUGCUUUGGAAACUGGAUGACUUGAGUGCAGUAGAGGAAAGUGGAACUCCAUGUGUAGC
rnacentral:rRNA from 1 species